rnacentral:rRNA from 1 species
UACGUAGGGGGCAAGCGUUGUCCGGAAUCAUUGGGCGUAAAGAGCGCGUAGGCGGCCCUGUAAGUCCGCUGUGAAAGUCAAGGGCUCAACCCCGGGAGGCGGAUGGAUACUGUCAGGUUCGAGUUCGGAAGAGGCGAGUGGAAUUCCCGGUGUAGCGGUGAAAUGCGCAGAUAUCGGGAGGAACACCAAUGGCGAAGGCAGCUCGCUGGGACGUUACUGACGCUGAGACGCGAAAGCGUGGGGAGCAAACAGG